CCACGGGAGGCCGCAGUAGGGCAUCUUCGGCAAUGGACGAACGUCUGACCGAGCAACGCCGCGUGAGUGAAGAAGGUUUUCGGAUCGUAAAACUCUGUUGGUAGAGAAGAACGUUGGUGAGAGUGGAAAGCUCAUCAAGUGACGGUAACUACCCAGAAAGGGACGGCUAACUACGUGCCAGCAGCCGCGGUAAUACGUAGGUCCCGAGCGUUGUCCGGAGUUAGUGGGCGUAAAGCGAGCGCAGGGGGUUUAUUAAGUCUGGUGUAAACGGCAGGGGCACAACCGUUGUAGGCGUUGGAAACUGGUAGACUUGAGUGCAGGAGAGGAGAGUGGAAUUCCAUGUGUAGCGGUGAAAUGCGUAGAUAUAUGGAGGAACACCGGUGGCGAAAGCGGCUGUCUGGCCUGUACCUGACACUGAGGCUCGAAAGCGUGGGGAGCAAACAGGAUUAGAUACCCUAGUAGUC
rnacentral:rRNA from 1 species